UACAGAGGUCCCCAAGCGUUGUUCGGAUUUACUGGGCGUAAAGGGUGCGUAGGUGGCCAGGUAAGUUCGAUGUGAAAUCUCCGAGCUCAACUCGGAAACUGCAUUGAAUACUCUCUGGCUGGAGGUUUGGAAGGGGGACUGGAAUUCUCGGUGUAGCAGUGAAAUGCGUAGAUAUCGAGAGGAACACCAGUGGCGAAGGCGAGUCCCUGGACAACACCUGACACUGAGGCACGAAAGCUAGGGGAGCAAACAGGAUUAGAAACCCUGGUAGU
rnacentral:rRNA from 1 species